rnacentral:rRNA from 1 species
GACGAACGCUGGCGGCGUGCUUAACACAUGCAAGUCGAACGGAAAGGCCCUGCUUUUGUGGGGUGCUCGAGUGGUGAACGGGUGAGUAACACGUGAGUAACCUGCCCUUGACUUUGGGAUAACUUCAGGAAACUGGGGCUAAUACCGGAUAGGAGCUCCUGCUGCAUGGUGGGGGUUGGAAAGUUUCGGCGGUUGGGGAUGGACUCGCGGCUUAUCAGCUUGUUGGUGGGGUAGUGGCUUACCAAGGCUUUGACGGGUAGCCGGCCUGAGAGGGUGACCGGCCACAUUGGGACUGAGAUACGGCCCAGACUCCUACGGGAGGCAGCAGUGGGGAAUAUUGCACAAUGGGCGGAAGCCUGAUGCAGCAACGCCGCGUGCUGGAUGACGGCCUUCGGGUUGUAAACCGCUUUCGCCUGUGACGAAGCGUGAGUGACGGUAAUGGGUAAAGAAGCACCGGCUAACUACGUG